rnacentral:lncRNA from 1 species
AGAACUAUAAACUGACUACACAGCUCCCUGGCCCGGGAAGGCUAUGAAACAGGCAACAUGGACAAUUUAAAGGUGUACAACAUCCGAGGUUCCAUUUCACCCUCAGGCAGCACGGAGUGGACAAGAGAUGGGGUCUCACUUUGUCACCCAGGCUGGGCUCAAACUCUUGGCUUCAAGCGAUCUUCUCGCCUUGGUCUCCCAAAGUGCUGGGAUUACAGGCUUGAACUACUGUACUCGACUGACUUUUCCUAUUUCUAAUGUCAGCAUGAAGAACACAAGAAGUCAGCUUCAAAGGCAUCCAGCAAUAUCAUCUAUUCUCCACUUUGCUAAAUCUUACCUUUGGCAGAGCCUUCAUGAACAAGAUUGGUACCCAUAUAAAAGAAGCCCGAGAGAGCUAUCUUGACCCUCCUACCAUGUGAAGACACAACAAGGUACCGUCUAUGAACCAGGAAAUGGGCCCUCACCAGACACCUAAUCUGCUGGUGCCUUGAUCUUGGACUUCCCAGCUUCUAGAACUGUGGGAAUUAAAUUUCUAUUGUUUAUAAGCUACCCAGUUUACACUACUUUGUUCUAUCAGCCCAAAAAGCACACCCUGUUUCAAGAUUCUGCAUUCAUUUACUCAUUCAUACAUUCAACCAUAUUUUGUUGGGCACCAAUGAUGCCAGGCACUACUCUAGGUGCUCAGGAUACAAUAAUUAAUAAGGCAGACAAUGCCCUGGCUUCAUGGAGAUAAAUGUGUUGAUGAACAGGAAGUAGAUAGAGUGGUCAGAGAAGGCUGGUGGAGAGCACAGUUGACCAGAGAUCUGAUGGAAGUGAGAAAGCAAACUAUGGGAAUAUCUGGAAAAAGAGCAUUCCAGGCAGAGGAAUGAGCAAGUGGCAAAGAUCCUCAAAUGCCUAUACUUCCAUGGAAGAAGGCCAGUGAGUGAGGAAAAGAGAGGUAGCAAAGGGGAUCAGAGAGGAUACAGGGAUCCAGAUCUCAAAGGGACUUGUAGGUAAUGGCCACCACUUUGGACUUCAUGUUUUCGGAGUGACGGAAAGUCCCUACAGCCUUUCCCAGCCCCUAGCUAAGCCUCUAUUGAUUACUUCUCCUUCUUGUGCUCUUAUCACCUGUACUUUUAUUUACCAGUUAGUCUAUAUUCCAUGGAUUUCUAUUCAUCUCUUGUGUAUCAAUUCUAUGUCCUCAACUAUGUCUCAACGGCAAGAAUCAGUCAUAUUCUCUUCUGUAUUCCCAGGGCCUGGCACCUAACAGAUGCUCAAUAAAUCUUUCCAGAAGGUGAUAAUGAUGAUGUAAUCUCUUAGAAUCUUUUCUAGCUGUUAAGAUCCAUGAUGCCUUUGAACUCUCUCAACAAACUAGUUUGCACAAUGACUCAGAGGACUGACAUCUUUCUAGAUAUUUUGAGAUUAUAUUCAUGCCACUUUUAGAGUCUCCAUCCAUCAAAUGACUAGAAUGAAUUACAUCAGAGUUUUGUCUAAAUGAAGGCUGUGCCACUUGGAAUGGGAUUCCCUUACAUGGAACUACCUACUAAUAUUUGCACUUUAAGCCACCUGAACCUCAGGAGAGUAAUAAAUUGCUAUUAAAUAAAUGCU